CGAACGGGUGAGUAACGCGUGAGGAACCUGCCUCAAAGAGGGGGACAACAGUUGGAAACGACUGCUAAUACCGCAUAAGCCCACGGGUCGGCAUCGACCUGAGGGAAAAGGAGCAAUCCGCUUUGAGAUGGCCUCGCGUCCGAUUAGCUAGUUGGUGAGGUAAUGGCCCACCAAGGCGACGAUCGGUAGCCGGACUGAGAGGUUGAACGGCCACAUUGGGACUGAGACACGGCCCUG
rnacentral:rRNA from 1 species